GAAAUGCGAUAAGUAGUGUGAAUUGCAGAAUUCAGUGAAUCAUCGAAUCUUUGAAGGCGCAUUGCGCCCCUUGGUAUUCCAUGGGGCAUGCCUGUUCGAGCGUCAUUUGUACCCUCAAGCUCUGCUUGGUGUUGGGUGUUUGUCCCCGUCUCCGCGCGUGGACUCGCCCCAAAGUGAUUGGCAGCCGGCGUACUGGUCCCGGAGCGCAGCACAUGUCGCGCAAACGAGUGCCUUGGUACGGCGGCGUCCAUAAGCCCCUCUCUCACGCUCUUGACCUCGGAUCAGGUAGGGAUACCCGCUGAACUUAAGC
rnacentral:misc_RNA from 1 species